AACGAACGCUGGCGGCAUGCCUAACACAUGCAAGUCGAACGAGACCUUCGGGUCUAGUGGCGCACGGGUGCGUAACGCGUGGGAACCUGCCCUUAGGUUGGGAAUAACUCCCCGAAAGGGGUGCUAAUACCGGAUAAUGUCUUCGGACCAAAGAUUUAUCGCCUUUGGAUGGGCCCGCGUUGGAUUAGCUAGUUGGUAGGGUAAAAGCCUACCAAGGCGACGAUCCAUAGCUGGUCUGAGAGGAUGAUCAGCCACACUGGGACUGAGACACGGCCCAGACUCCUACGGGAGGCAGCAGUGGGGAAUAUUGGACAAUGGGCGAAAGCCUGAUCCAGCAAUGCCGCGUGAGUGAUGAAGGCCUUAGGGUUGUAAAGCUCUUUUACCCGGGAUGAUAAUGACAGUACCGGGAGAAUAAGCGCCGGCUAACUCCGUG
rnacentral:rRNA from 1 species